GAUGAAGAACGCAGCGAAAUGCGAUAGGUAAUGUGAAUUGCAGAAUUCAGUGAAUCAUCGAGUCUUUGAACGCACAUUGCGCCCCCUGGUAUUCCGGGGGGCAUGCCUGUCCGAGCGUCAUUGCUGCCCUCAAGCACGGCUUGUGUGUUGGGCUCCGUCCCCCCGGGGACGGGCCCGAAAGGCAGCGGCGGCACCGAGUCCGGUCCUCGAGCGUAUGGGGCUUUGUCACCCGCUCUGUAGGCCCGGCCGGCGCCAGCCGACAACCCAUCAUCCUUUUCAGGUUGACCUCGGAUCAGGUAGGGAUACCCGCUGAACUUAAGCAUAUCAAUAAGCGGAGGA
rnacentral:misc_RNA from 1 species